UUUUUUUUUUUUUUUUUAACAGAUGCACCCAUCUGUUAUUUGCAAAGGAGGCAGGCUGGAGAGUGUAACCUCACAUCCUCUGAGCAUGGAUGUCAAUUAUGUCCCAGAUUCACAAUGAGGAGAGCAUAGGACUGCUACUCUUAUACCCAGAUGAAACACUGGAAUGGGUCCAGUGUCAUGUGUGCAAAGGCUGGCUGCAUACAGACUGUGCAUGGAUAAACCAGGAGCAUCUGAGAGAGGAGUUAACUGUGGACGCAGAGAUUCAAAUGAAAACACGAGGUCAUCAUCAAGUUCUUGGCAAUGCAAGGUCUGACCCGGCUACAGGCAGAGGUGGUGAUGGCCAGCAGGAGUCGGU